rnacentral:tRNA from 2 species
GGCGAUAUGGCCAAGUGGUAAGGCAAAGAAUUGCAAAUUCUUUUAUCCCCAGUUCGAAUCCGGGUAUCGUCU